rnacentral:rRNA from 1 species
UAGGGAAUCUUCCGCAAUGGACGCAAGUCUGACGGAGCAACGCCGCGUGAGUGAAGAAGGAUUUCGGUUCGUAAAACUCUGUUGUUAGAGAAGAACAGCGCAUAGAGUAACUGUUAUGCGUGUGACGGUAUCUAACCAGAAAGCCACGGCUAACUACGUGCCAGCAGCCGCGGUAAUACGUAGGUGGCAAGCGUUGUCCGGAUUUAUUGGGCGUAAAGCGAGCGCAGGCGGUCAAUUAAGUCUGAUGUGAAAGCCCCCGGCUCAACCGGGGAGGGUCAUUGGAAACUGGUUGACUUGAGUGCAGAAGAGGAGAGUGGAAUUCCAUGUGUAGCGGUGAAAUGCGUAGAUAUAUGGAGGAAAACCAGUGGCGAAGGCGACUCUCUGGUCUGUAACUGACGCUGAGGUUCGAAAGCGUGGGUAGCAAACAGG